rnacentral:lncRNA from 1 species
UGCUCAUUUUUUUUUUUUUGCAGAGACAAAGAUUUGUAAUUUAUAGAGACGAUGGAUCUCCUUAUAAAAACUUUUUAUUAUACAUAGAAGAAAUUAAGAAGACUAAUGUCUUUUACCCAGUUAAAUACGUUUAUGAUGUGCCAUUAAAAUAUCAUGAAAAAUUAAUAGUUUAUAAAAAAGAAGAAAUAAAGAAUCAAAACUUACAUGCGUUUUGUGAAGAAAAAAAAUUAUUUUACGAAAAUAAAGACAAACAACUAAAAUGCUUCUGUAGUUAUUGUCCUCCCCAUCCUGUUUUUCCAUUAUAUUCGCAUUUAAAAUAUAUAAAAGAAAAGCUUUUUUGCAACAAUAAAGGUAUAAUAAAAAAAAAAAAAAAAAACCUUACUUAUAAUUUUUCUGAAAUGUGUUAAAAUUCGUUACGUUUUUAUUUUUAUAAAACUUAUUUUUAUCUAUUAUGAGAACAUUUUUUCAAUUUGCUUACUCAACUUUUUUGUCCUAUUUUUUAUUUAUUUUUUAAUAUAUAUAGAAAAUGACGAGCUAAUACUGUAUUGCUUAGAAAAAAUAGAUAAAACAUAUCAUGGGUUUCUUAUUGAAAAGAACAUGAAUUUUUAUAAGUUAAACGUUACUUUACAACAGUUCGAUUUCAAUAAUGAGCCACUUAUAACCAGCAAUAACAAAUCAUUAUUAGAACGGAAGUCAUACAUUUUAGACCCAUCCAACCCAGAAAUUGAUGAUGAAGUGUUUAGAGUAAAGAUUAAAUUUGAUUUUGAAAAAACGAACAAGGGAGGUUCCAUCGAAGGCAACUAUCUAUUUAUUGAUUCAGACACGUUUAAAGAAAAGGUAGAACCGAGGGACUUAAUAUUAGACGAAGAUAUUUUAAAAGACUCUAUUAUAGUUGAUUCUACUUAUGUUGAGAAAAUAAAGCUAGAAAAAGAAGCAGCAGUAAAUCCAGCAACACAAACACAACAAACCGAUUGUGAUAAAAUAAGGAGCUACCCAUCGACAUAUGGAACCCCUAACGGAUCAUGCAAUUUUAUAACAAAAAAUAAAUGUUUUAGUCAUAAAUACACACUUUCACCUUUUAUAAGACUUGAAAAUGUAGCUAAAAACCAAGAAAAAAUUUUUGCUAAUUAUUUUUUUUUUUUUCUUAAAAAAAAAAAUGAUCUGAUUUUUGAAGAAACUAUAUAUGAUCUUACCAAGAAAGACAUAAACGUUUUUUCAAAGUACGACACAAUAGAAAAUGACAAACAGUUAAAUUAUUCAUUAGAAAAAAAAAAAGAAAUAAAACGUAAUGAUGAACAAAAGUCUGUAAAAAAUAGUAAAAACUUAAUUACUGAUAUAGAAGAUAAAUAUUACAUAGUGUUAGGUAAAAAAAAAAAUAAUUUUAUUAGCAUAACAUCAUAUAAUAAUGAAGCAUUAAAAAUUAAAUAUAAUAAGAAAGAAACAGGAAUUUCCAUUUCAUUUAUUCAUAAAUUAAGCGACUGUUCUGAUUUUUAUAACCAAAUAAAUAAAACAUGCACAAUAUAUUUAAGUAUAUGGAAUGAACAUGACGUAGCAAAAGAAGUAAACAUUUUUAUAAAGUGUUCUAAAAAAAUAGUUAAUGAUAUUGAAACUAUUAAAAAAAAAAUAACUUUAUGUAGAAAUUGUGAACAAUCUACCAUUAUUAAAUUUGAGCCUAUUGAAGAUUUACUUAUUACACCAUGUCAUUUAGAAAUAUCAAAAAAUAAUAUUAAUAAUAAUAUAAGUGAGACGCAAAAAAAAAAUUUACGUGAUAAAACACAAACUGAACAAAAUGAAGAAUCACAAUAUUUUGAGUUGCAAGUAGAUAAUGACACUAAUAAAGAAAGUGAUACUUAUCUCGAAGAAAAAGACAACGACGAAGAUAAAGACGAAAGUGGUAUUUAUUACGUAGGGGAUAGAGAUAGUGAAAUAUAUCAUGUUAGUACAAAUAGUUUAUAUGGUAAAGAUCAUAAUGAUUUGACAUAUUACAACUAUAACGACUACUACGAAGAAGAUAGAAACAUAUACCAUAUGUUAAGUGUUGAAGAAAACGAACAAAUGAAUAAUGAAUCGAAAUUUAAUUCAGCAUUUAUUACACCUUUAAAGUUCAACGCACCAAAACACAUUUUGGAUUUACAUAUAAAAAGAAUGGAAUUACUAUCUGACAUAAAUAAAAUGAAUAUUGAUAAUAUAGAUAUUUUUGACAUAGAGGAUGAAAACAUAUUAAAAAAUAUACUAAUAAUAUGUUUAAAAUGGAUGAAAAUGAAUUAUUUGCCUUUUUUAAUUAUUUUAGUUAUAUGUGUUUUUAUUUUUAUAAUACCCAGUUUAAAUAUAACAAAAAAAAAUAUGGGAGACAAAACCUGGUUUUAUAAAUUAACUAAGUUUCGUUUACUUGUUUUAUGGUCUUUGCAAGAUAUUUUUAUUGUACUAAAAAAAAUGCCUUAUAAACUCUUUAGAAUUGUUAAGAAAGUAAUAAACUAUAUUUUAAGUUUUUUUUAUAAAGCUUUCUUAAUUUUUUUUCAAAGUAAAAAUCAACUAAUUGAUCAAAUGCAUAAAGAAAAAGAAGCACAAAAAAGACUAUAUGAAAAAAAAAAAAAAAAAAAAAAAAUGAUGUAGGCAAAAAAAACUAAAAAAAAAAAAGCAUUAUUGAAAAGAAGAAAAAAAAUACUCUUAGAGUAUGAAAGAAACUUUAAAAGAAAUAGGGGUGAGUAUGUGAGCAGAGAGUUAAGUGAAACAGAACCCUCAACUCCCAGUGAAAUGUCCAACCUAACACAUGAUACAAACAUGCUCGACGAAGACACAGACAUCUCCAACACGAGCAACCGUGAUACAAAUGAUAAACAAUUAGAAAAAAAAAAUAAAACAAAUAAGAAUAUGGACGAAAUGAUAAGU